CAGCUAUUUAGGACAGAAACAUCCAAGGCCGUGUUAGAACUCAAUUACGACUACAUAUGCGUUAAAGCAGGAACUGGCAGGCCUCUGGACUACAGCAACUAUAGGACUUGGGCUUCUCGUACGCUGGGCCAUAAUUUAUGGAACUGAGCCCCAGAUCCAGCCAAUCAUUUAGCUCCUCAUAACAAGUCUGACUGGCUCUGGAAAGCUGAAAGGGCUGCACUAGAACAACAGAGAUGAGAUAUUCCACAUAACACUCAGCUUAUCUGGAAUCACUUUCCCUUGCAAGGCCAGAAAAAAAUCAUAGCUUUACUGCCCAAGGGAAGCACGACAAAGGACUGGGAAAUGCGACUUCACCUGGAGCAAGAUCUGUUAUGCUUUGGCAAGAUCAACCUCGCCGACCUUAAAGGACCCAGGUACCCCUGGGACACAGAGGGCAACCACAGCAGCAAAAACCCAAAGAUGGCUGACUGAAUUUAACUUGAGAUUUGACACCAAGAAGAAAAACAGAAACACAGGGAACAGAAAAAUGCUGCUGCUCAUGGUGACUGUGUGAGAACUGAAACUUCUGAGGGAAGCCAGGUUGUUAAAAUUGUGAUUCCAUUUACUCAACAAUAACAAGGAUGAUCUAGUCUGAAAGGGAAAGCAUGCUCUUAAGGUAACGUUGGCAUUGAAUCUUCACACCCAGAAUUUUGUCAUUGAAUCCUCAACACCCAGAACUCCCUGUUUCUCAUUCCCCAAAUAAAAUUAUGUUAAGAUCUCUUCAAAUUCCAAUGUUCAAAUCAUUUUUCAAUAGACAAGACCAAGAAUACUCUAAACUAAGGCAUUUAAAUUAUUUCACAUGAUAGUUGCCCAGAAAUUUCCUACAGGAAAAUUUUACCUUUGACAACUUUGAAGAUAACCAUCUCCCCACUCAAAACAAUGGCAAGCAACCAACUAGCAAGUCUUUGAGUCAGAAG
ensembl:lncRNA